UGUGGGUACCCGACUUAUUAACAGUGUGCAUUUCAAAUUCCGCGGAUCGACAGCAAACCGAUUUAAAAUCGAUAAAUCGAGUUUUUCCAUUCGAUUAGGCCGAAUGAAUAAUUGUUUGAUAAUAAGGUACCGAAUAAAUACUUAUAUUACGCAUAGUGUUGUAUUAAAAAUACCUCAUGGUGAGGGGAGUAUGGCCCCUAACAUCUGUCCAUCU